rnacentral:lncRNA from 1 species
CUUAAAUCAUCCCUGAAAUUGAAAGCAAAAUCUGUGACAUUCACCAUCACAGUCCACCUCGAAGGUAACCUUUCAUCUAAUACAAAAUAGCUCGCUAAAUACAAAUCGUCCAUCAACUAGUUACCAGCUUCUUCAAUAGUACCAUUCUAGCUGACUACCACAACCACACUUCUCCACUGUCAGUAUCAAUAACCAACAUCGACUACUUCCACUAUCGUAGAGCCACCAUAGUUUGUUCGUUAAAACCUAUAGCCAC